UGGGCCUGUUGGAGAAGCGGCUGCUGCCGGGCUAUGUCCUAGUCCAAUUGGCCGGUUCGGCGCUGGCCGGGCUGGU
rnacentral:tRNA from 1 species